AACAUCACUUACUGUUUCAUCUCACUCUCCUCCGAACUAUGUACUGAUAUUAGCAUCAUCCCAUAAUGCAGGUGACAGUACGAAGACUCACAGUAGUGGGGAAGUCCUGUCCUCAAGUCCAUGCAGCUCAGGAGUGGGAGAACUUGGAUCUGAGUGAGCCCUGAUUGUCGCCUUGAGGACCACUGUAUUUUCAGAGCCUUGCCUUGCUUCUCAGAGGUGAGAGCCACCUCCAUUUCAACACGGCCAUUGCUGGAGCUGAGGCAGCCUCCUAGCGCCCCAAGCAGGACAGAUGCUCUUUGGCUCCUUUGGGUUGGGAGCACAGAUAUCAACUGGACAUGAAGGGCUGGGACAGGAGAGAGCCUAUGUGGAGAGGAGGUUCUUCCAGGAGGUGAUGGGAAAAUCUGAAGCCCAGGAAGGGAAAGAAGGAUACCCAAUGACACAGUUUGAUGUUAUUAAAAAGAAGAACAGAUUUUGGUGAAAGGUUCUCAGAACGUCGCUCCAUGUAAGGAAUGGAAUGGGAUUACCUGCUCGUCUCCUGUCAAGCUUGGGGUAGCACUGCCUCUCUCAGGAUGGCUUCCUUCUUGAGAGGUUGAAGAACCCUUCCCAAGACUGGGCCAUCUUGCUCUGAGCACAGAGAAAUCACACAGGCUAAAAGUUAGAUACCUGGGAGUGGCAGAAAGAGCACAGACUUCAAAACCAGAAAGAUUCACCUUCGAGUCUUGGCUCUGCCACUUACCAGCAGUCUGACCUUGAAUGAACCUCAGCUUCCCCAUUGUAAAUGGGGGCUCAAGAAUACCUCCCUUGCAACACUAUUUGAAGAUGAAAAGUGACAGAAGUGAAGGACCUAGUGCACUGCUUGGCCCAUAGUAAGUGCUCAAAAAGUUCCCUUCCUUUUCUUACUUUUGAGCUUUGUGUCAGGCUCCAUCCUGUC
rnacentral:lncRNA from 1 species